AAGUCGUAACAAGGUUCCCGUAGGUGAACCUGCGGAAGGAUCAUUACUAGAGCAAAGGAUAGACAGCGCCCGCGGAGCUCGCUCCCGGGGCUACCCUACUCCCGUAGGGUUUAGAGUCGUCGGGCCUCUCGGAGAAGCUCGGUCCUGAACUCCACCCUUGAAUAAACUACCUUUGUUGCUUUGGCGGGCCGCCUCGUGCCAGCGGCUUCGGCUGUUGAGUGCCCGCCAGAGGACCCCAACUCUUGUUUUUAGUGAUGUCUGAGUACUAUAUAAUAGUUAAAACUUUCAACAACGGAUCUCUUGGUUCUG
rnacentral:misc_RNA from 1 species